UUUCCGUAGGUGAACCUGCGGAAGGAUCAUUAUCAGAUAUUGAACCUUAAGGACCCUGCUGGCCUUCAUCGCCGCGCAUGAGCACGAUUUUUGUGAAAAAUUCAUACCACUGUGCACAAAACUUAGUCCCUUCAGAAGGCCUAAGUUGUUUCUCAUAAUCUUUGAAGGUCAUAGUAUGGUUUAGAAUCUUGGGUAAUGCAAUACAACUUUCACCAACGGAUCUCUUGGCUCCAGCAUCGUUGAGGAUCGCAGCAGUUCGGAUGACCAUCACUGUAAACC
rnacentral:misc_RNA from 1 species